rnacentral:misc_RNA from 1 species
GAUGAAGAACGUAGCGAAAUGCGAUACUUGGUGUGAAUUGCAGAAUCCCGUGAACCAUCGAGUCUUUGAACGCAAGUUGCGCCCGAAGCCAUUAGGCCGAGGGCACGCCUUCCUGGGCGUCACACGUCGUUGCCCCCCCAUCUACUCCUUCGGGAUUGCGGGGGGCGGAUGAUGGCCUCCCGUGCGCCUCGUCGCGCGGUUGGCAUAAAUGCCAAGUCCUCGGCGACGCACGCCACGACAAUCGGUGGUUGCGAAACCUCGGUUGCCCGUCGUGUGCGGUCGUCGCGCAUCGAGGGCUCGAAAAAAUUGCCGGGCUCCGGCUCGGCUUUCAACGCGACCCCAGGUCAGGCGGGGUUACCCGCUGAAUUUAAGCAUAUCAAUAAGCGGAGGA